rnacentral:rRNA from 1 species
AUUGAACGCUGGCGGCAGGCUUAACACAUGCAAGUCGAGCGAGCGGCGGACGGGUGAGUAAUGUCUGGGAACCUGCCUGAUGGAGGGGGAUAACUACUGGAAACGGUAGCUAAUACCGCAUACUAUUAGAUGUGCCCAUAUGGGAUUAGCUAGUUGGUGGGGUAAUGGCUCACCUAGGCGACGAUCCCUAGCUGGUCUGAGAGGACGACCAGCCACACUGGGACUGAGACACGGCCCAGACUCCUACGGGAGGCAGCAGUGGGGAAUAUUGGACAAUGGGCGAAAGCCUGAUCCAGCCAUCCCGCGUGUGUGAAGAAGGCCUUCGGGUUGUAAAGCACUUUCAGCGGGGAGGCGUUACCCGCAGAAGAAGCACCGGCUAACUCCGUGCCAGCAGCCGCGGUAAUUC